rnacentral:rRNA from 1 species
GAAGAACAAGUGCUAGUUGAAUAAGCUGGCACCUUGACGGUACCUAACCAGAAAGCCACGGCUAACUACGUGCCAGCAGCCGCGGUAAUACGUAGGUGGCAAGCGUUAUCCGGAAUUAUUGGGCGUAAAGCGCGCGCAGGUGGUUUCUUAAGUCUGAUGUGAAAGCCCACGGCUCAACCGUGGAGGGUCAUUGGAAACUGGGAGACUUGAGUGCAGAAGAGGAAAGUGGAAUUCCAUGUGUAGCGGUGAAAUGCGUAGAGAUAUGGAGGAACACCAGUGGCGAAGGCGACUUUCUGGUCUGUAACUGACACUGAGGCGCGAAAGCGUGGGGAGCAAACAGGAUUAGAUACCCUGGUAGUCCACGCCGUAAACGAUGAGUGCUAAGUGUUAGAGGGUUUCCGCCCUUUAGUGCUGAAGUUAACGCAUUAAGCACUCCGCCUGGGGAGUACGGCCGCAAGGCUGAAACUCAAAGGAAUUGACGGGGGCCCGCACAAGCGGUGGAGCAUGUGUGUUUAAUUCGAAGCAACGCGAAGAACCUUACCAGGUCUUGACAUCCUCUGAAAACCCUAUAGAUAGGGCUUCUCCUUCGGGAGCAGAGUGACAGGUGCUGCAUGGUUUUCGGUCAGCACC